UACGUAGGGGGCAAGCGUUGUCCGGAAUCAUUGGGCGUAAAGCGCGUGUAGGCGGCUGGCUAAGUCCGCUCUGAAAGCCCGGGGCUCAACCCCGGGAGGCGGGUGGAUACUGGUCAGCUCGAGUCCGGAAGAGGAGUGUGGAAUUCCUGGUGCAGCGGUGAAAUGCGCAGAUAUCAGGAGGAACACCGAUGGCGAAGGCAGCACUCUGGGACGGUACUGACGCUGAGACGCGAAAGCGUGGGGAGCAAACAGG
rnacentral:rRNA from 1 species